UACGGAGGGUGCAAACGUUGCUCGGAAUCAUUGGGCGUAAAGCGCACGUAGGCGGCGCGUUAAGUCGGGUGUGAAAGCCCUGGGCUCAACCCAGGAAGUGCAUUCGAAACUGGCGCGCUUGAAUAUGGAAGAGGGUCGCGGAAUCCCCGGUGUAGAGGUGAAAUUCGUAGAUAUCGGGAGGAACACCAGUGGCGAAGGCGGCGACCUGGGCCAAUAUUGACGCUGAGGUGCGAAAGCGUGGGGAGCAAACAGG
rnacentral:rRNA from 1 species